rnacentral:rRNA from 1 species
GGGCCCGCACAAGCGGUGGAGCAUGUGGUUUAAUUCGACGCGACGCGAAGAACCUUACCCAGACUUGACAUGCAUUGGACGAGUGUGGAAACACACUUUCCCUUCGGGGCCGGUGCACAGGUGCUGCAUGGCUGUCGUCAGCUCGUGUCGUGAGAUGUUGGGUUAAGUCCCGCAACGAGCGCAACCCUUGUCCUUAGUUGCUAACGGGUAAAGCCGAGCACUCUAGGGAGACUGCCGGUGGUAAACCGGAGGAAGGUGGGGAUGACGUCAAGUCCUCAUGGCCCUUACGUCUGGGGCUACACACGUGCUACAAUGGCCAGUACAAAGGGUUCCAAGACCGCGAGGUGGAGGCAAUCCCAAAAAACUGGUCUCAGUUCGGAUUGCAGUCUGCAACUCGACUGCAUGAAGUUGGAAUCGCUAGUAAUCGCUGAUCAGCAGGCAGCGGUGAAUACGUUCCCGGGCCUU